CACAAGAACUUUGUAUCAUCGCUAAAAAGUAAGCCAUAACUAUUAUUUUCAAAUUACCGGCUUAAAAUUGAAAAAAAUCUACCGAUAUAUUAUAUUGACAUGGUUGAUGGUGGAGUGACGACUGAUGUAGAUAAAAAGGGCUUUGCGAAGAAGGAAGAUAUUGUUACUGCUGGUGGUCGAGUGACGAUUGGUCGAUGUAAAUGGAAAGGUCUUUGUGUGAAGGUGAAGAUAUUGUUACUGCUGGUGACCGAGUGGAAAAUGAUCGAUGUAAAUGGACGGCAGGCAUACAAAUGCGAAAUGAGAUUUUGAAGAAACGAGAAAGCAAUGCUCAAUAUGAAGACAAAGCCGGAACGAAAUAUUCCACCCGUAUAUUCUCCAUUUUCGUUUAUUUUGGGAUUUCU